GACGAACGCUGGCGGCGUGCUUAACACAUGCAAGUCGAACGGUAAGGCCCUUCGGGGUACACGAGUGGCGAACGGGUGAGGAACACGUUGGUGAUCUGCCCUGCACUUCGGGAUAAGCCUGGGAAACUGGGGCUAAAACCGGCUAGGACCCACGCCUGCCGGGGUGGGGGGGGAAAGAUUUUGCGGUGUGGGAUGGGCCCGCGGCCUAUCAGCUUGUUGGUGGGGUGAUGGCGUACCAAGGCGACGACGGGUAGCCGGCCUGAGAGGGUGACCGGCCACACUGGGACUGAGAUACGGCCCAGACUCCUACGGGAGGCAGCAGUGGGGAAUAUUGCACAAUGGGCGCAAGCCUGAUGCAGCGACGCCGCGUGAGGGAUGACGGCCUUCGGGUUGUAAACCUCUUUCAGCACCGACGAAGCGCAAGUGACGGUAGGUGCAGAAGAAGGACCGGCCAACUACGUGCCAGCCGCCGCCGUAA
rnacentral:rRNA from 1 species